AGAGUUUGAUCCUGGCUCAGAACGAACGCUGGCGGCGGGCCUAAUACAUGCAAGUCGAACGAGAAAGUCCUUUCGGGGGCGAGUAAAGUGGCGCACGGGUGAGUAACACGUAGGUGAUCUACCCUUUAGUUGGGAAUAACUCGAGGAAACUCGAGCUAAUACCGAAUAAGCUCAGUGAAAUUGAAAAAGCUGAGGAAAGGUGGCCUCUUCUUGAAAGCUACCGCUGAAGGAUGAGCCUGCGCGACAUUAGCUUGUUGGUAAGGUAACGGCUUACCAAGGCUACGAUGUCUAGCGGGUCUGAGAGGAUGAUCCGCCACACUGGAACUGAGACACGGUCCAGACUCCUACGGGAGGCAGCAGUAGGGAAUAUUGCGCAAUGGGGGAAACCCUGACGCAGCCACGCCGCGUGUGUGAGGAAGGCCUUCGGGUUGUAAAGCACUGUCAAUAGGGAAAAACAGCCAUGUUUCAAAUAGGCUCAUGGUUUGAUGGUACCUACAAAGGAAGCACCGGCUAACUUCGUGCCAGCAGCCGCGGUAAUACGAAGGGUGCAAGCGUUGUUCGGAUUUAUUGGGCGUAAAGCGCGCGCAGGCGGAUAAUUAAGCCAGAUGUGAAAUCUUGGGGCUCAACCCCGAAACUGCGUCUGGAACUGGUUAUCUAGAGUCUUGGAGGGGGAAGUGGAAUUUCACGUGUAGGGGUAAAAUCCGUAGAGAUGUGAAGGAACACCGGAGGCGAAGGCGACUUCCUGGCCAAGUACUGACGCUGAGGCGCGAAAGCGUGGGGAGCAAACAGGAUUAGAUACCCUGGUAGUCCACGCCGUAAACGAUGUGCACUAGAUAUUGGAAGUUUAACCCUUUCAGUGUCGCAGCUAACGCAUUAAGUGCACCGCCUGGGGAGUACGGUCGCAAGACUAAAACUCGAAGGAAUUGACGGGGGCCCGCACAAGCGGUGGAUUAUGUGGUUUAAUUCGAAGCAACGCGCAGAACCUUACCUGGGCUUGAACUCCUGAGAAUCCUCUAGAAACAGAGGAGUGCCCCUUGGGGAAUUCAGUGAGAGGCGCUGCAUGGCUGUCGUCAGCUCGUGUCGUGAGAUGUUGGGUUAAGUCUCGCAACGAGCGCAACCCCUAUCUUUAGUUGCCAGCAUUAAGUUGGGCACUCUAGAGAGACUGCCUGGGUUAACCAGGAGGAAGGUGGGGAUGACGUCAAGUCCUCAUGGCCCUUAUGUCCAGGGCUACACACGUAAUACAAUGGUCGGUACAGAGGGAUGCGAACCUGCGAAGGGGAGCAAAUCUCAAAAAACCGAUCUCAGUCCGGAUUGGAGUCUGCAACUCGACUCCAUGAAGUUGGAAUCGCUAGUAAUCGUGGAUCAGCACGCCACGGUGAAUACGUUCCCGGGCCUUGUACACACCGCCCGUCACACCAUGGGAGUUGAUUUUACCUGAAGUCGUAGCCCUAACUGCUUGCAGAGGGGAGCGCCUACGGUCGGAUCGAUAACUGGGGUGAAGUCGAAACAAGGUA
rnacentral:rRNA from 1 species